UACGGGGGGGGCAAGCGUUGUUCGGAAUUACUGGGCGUAAAGGGCUCGUAGGUGGCCAAGUAAGUCAGACGUGAAAUCCCUCGGCUUAACCGGGGAACUGCGUCUGAUACUGGAUGGCUUGAGUUCGGGAGAGGGAUGCGGAAUUCCAGGUGUAGCGGUGAAAUGCGUAGAUAUCUGGAGGAACACCGGUGGCGAAGGCGGCAUCCUGGACCGACACUGACACUGAGGAGCGAAAGCCAGGGGAGCAAACGGG
rnacentral:rRNA from 1 species